rnacentral:rRNA from 1 species
CCUACGGGUGGCAGCAGUGAGGAAUCUUGGUCAAUGGGCGCGAGCCUGAACCAGCCAAGUAGCGUGAAGGAUGACUGCCCUACGGGUUGUAAACUUCUUUUAUAAAGGAAUAAAGUGAGGCACGUGUGCCUUUUUGUAUGUACUUUAUGAAUAAGGAUCGGCUAACUCCGUGCCAGCAGCCGCGGUAAUACGGAGGAUCCGAUCGUUAUCCGGAUUUAUUGGGUUUAAAGGGUGGUGAGGUGGUUUGUUAAGUCAGUUGUGAAAGUUUGCGGAUCAACCGUAAAAUUGCAAUUGAUACUGGCAGUCUGGAGUACAGUUGAGGGAGGCGGAAUUCGUGGUGUAGCGGUGAAAUGCUUAGAUAUCACGAAGAAAUCCGAUUGCGAAGGCAGCUUACUAAACUGCCACUGACAUUGAUGCUCGAAAGUGUGGGUAUCAAACAGGAUUAGAUACCCGAGUAGUC